UAAAUCUGCUAAGAAGCCAAAAAAAGAGAGCAGGCCAAAGAAAAAAGUUUCAAUAAGGCCGAAGCAAAGAAAAAAUAUUUUCACUAUCAUGCUGAAGGCCACUAGAGGAAGAAUUGUCCAACAUACGUAGAGAGCCUAAAGAUAAAAAAGGAUAAUAAAUCUUUCGAAGGUAUGCUCGUAAUUGAAUCUAACUUUAUAGUUUCUUCUACUUCUAGUUGAGUAUUAGACUCUGGCUCGAGUGCUCAUAUAUGUACCUCAAUGCAGGGUCUGAUAGAAAGUAGGAGGU
rnacentral:lncRNA from 1 species